UUGUCUGGAUCCUUUUCUUUCCUACUUUCUGCAGUGAUUCCUUUUCACUGCUUUUGGUCCUUUUUUUUCCCAUUUCUUUUGCUUAUCUUCGUUUGUAGCCAUCUGCUCUCUCCUCUCUUCGCCUCUGUUGGUCUUAAAGUAAUUAGUUUUGUGGGGAUUCAGGUUUUUAUUUUUCUGGAACUUUUGUCUGCAGCUUUGGAAGACAUUUGUGCUUAAGGUGAGAAACUUUGGGUGCUUGCUUUUGGGUUUUGUUGUAGAAUUAAUUAUUUUUUUUUAAGACGUACCUUCGUGGGAAUUCAUUUGUUCUUCUUUUUUUCUUGCAUCUGAAAAAUGUCACAUGAUGUGAGUUUAUAAUUAAAUAUGAAUAUCAAAAUGGGUUUUCUGUGCAAAUUUUCUUUUUCUGAUUUUAUAGAACCGAAGAGGAUGUUAACAAUAUUUUACAUUGUUUUAGUACCCAGGUUUACAUCAUGAGCUGAAGAUCCAAGAUCAUUUUGGCAGAGACUUAGAUAUUGAAAACACUAAUUUUGUUCUAUAUUUUGUACUUUAAUGUCCAACUAUUUACAUGUUUUACACACUUAUAACACCCGCAGCAACGCGCGGGCACUAUGACUAGUAAGCAUCUAUAAUUCCGGUAACAAAAAUGCUAUUUUUAUCAUCUA